rnacentral:rRNA from 1 species
UACGUAGGGUGCGAGCGUUGUCCGGAAUUACUGGGCGUAAAGAGCUCGUAGGCGGUGUGUCGCGUCGGCCGUGAAAACCUGCAGCUUAACUGUGGGCUUGCGGUCGAUACGGGCAUCACUGGGAGUUCGGCAGGGGAGACUGGAAUUCCUGGUGUAGCGGUGAAAUGCGCAGAUAUCCAGGGAGGGAACACCGGUGGCGAAGGCGGGU